UAAGGGAUAUUGGACAAUGGAGGCAACUCUGAUCCAGCCAUGCCGCGUGAAGGAAUAAGGCCCUAUGGGUUGUAAACUUCUUUUAGACGGGACAAAACCCCUUUACGUGUAAAGGGUUGAUGGUACUGUCAGAAUAAGCAUCGGCUAACUUCGUGCCAGCAGCCGCGGUAAUACGAAGGAUGCAAGCGUUAUCCGGAAUUAUUGGGUUUAAAGGGUGCGUAGGCGGACUAAUAAGUCAGUGGUGAAAGCCUGCAGCUUAACUGCAGAAUUGCCAUUGAUACUGUUAGUCUUGAGUACAGUUGAGGUAGGCGGAAUGUGUCAUGUAGCGGUGAAAUGCUUAGAUAUGACACAGAACACCGAUUGCGAAGGCAGCUUGCUAAGCUGUAACUGACGCUGAGGCACGAAAGCGUGGGGAGCAAACA
rnacentral:rRNA from 1 species